rnacentral:sRNA from 1 species
UGGUAGAUGCACCCUGAUAACUCACUCCCUAGUAGAUUCCCAUCCGCUAGGGUUUUUUAUU